AUGUUAAUUGACAAAACUUGCUGGAAGGGCAAGGAUUUGUCAAAGUCAAAGAAAAAUGACGAAGCAGAGUCUCAGGACAACAUUGAUAUGUUCAAGCUCUACAACUUGAAGCCAGCUUUGCCAACCACCUUUCCCGUGCCAGAUUUUAGCGACCAAGAUAUGUGUGAGAAGAUCAACUUUGCCACUGACAAGAGCCUGUUUUUAUCAAGUGUACCUGAAAAGAAUCAAAUUGACAUGGAGGAAGCAGGAAAGGGUCUUGACUGGGUUCAUUCAAAGGAAAAAUACAAGGAAUAUUUGAAGCAGCUUCCAGACCUAAGCUCCGGCAAGAGGAAGGCAACAUCCAUGGCAAACCCUCAUGUGGUCCAGAAGCGUAAAGCAGUUUCAAUGAAGAAGAAUCGGCAGUUGCCUCAAACCAAGGAGAAGAUGGUGAGUGCAGAUGCUGAAGUAAAUAUGGUCAAGGAAGUUAUGCUUCAAAUUGAUAUGCCAACUGUAGUGAGCAGAGAGCCAACCACCAUCACAGGAGUUCAACAGAUCAAGGGGAAGACUCCCCUUUCAACAGUCCCACCAAAACCACCUAAGCAGCAAAAGAUUGUCAAGUUUGCUAGGGGCACAAAGGGGAACAGGCCACAGGAGGGGUGCCAAGUUCUGCUAGGUUGCUGCCAACUCUGA
rnacentral:rRNA from 1 species